UACGAAGGGGGCUAGCGUUGCUCGGAAUUACUGGGCGUAAAGCGCACGUAGGCGGCCUGUUAAGUCGGGGGUGAAAUCCUGGGGCUCAACCUCAGAAUUGCCUCCGAUACUGGCAGUCUCGAGUGCGGGAGAGGUGAGUGGAAUUCCCAGUGUAGAGGUGAAAUUCGUAGAUAUUGGGAAGAACACCAGUGGCGAAGGCGGCUCACUGGCCCGUAACUGACGCUGAGGUGCGAAAGCGUGGGGAGUAAACAGG
rnacentral:rRNA from 1 species